rnacentral:rRNA from 1 species
UAUGGAGAGUUUGAUCCUGGCUCAGAGUGAACGCUGGCGGCGUGCCUAAUACAUGCAAGUCGAACGAUGAAGCUUCUAGCUUGCUAGAAUGCUGAUUAGUGGCGCACGGGUGAGUAACGCAUAGGUCAUGUGCCUCUUAGUUUGGGAUAGCCAUUGGAAACGAUGAUUAAUACCAGAUACUCCCUACGGGGGAAAGAUUUAUCGCUAAGAGAUCAGCCUAUGUCCUAUCAGCUUGUUGGUAAGGUAAUGGCUUACCAAGGCUAUGACGGGUAUCCGGCCUGAGAGGGUGAACGGACACACUGGAACUGAGACACGGUCCAGACUCCUACGGGAGGCAGCAGUAGGGAAUAUUGCUCAAUGGGGGAAACCCUGAAGCAGCAACGCCGCGUGGAGGAUGAAGGUUUUAGGAUUGUAAACUCCUUUUGUUAGAGAAGAUAAUGACGGUAUCUAACGAAUAAGCACCGGCUAACUCCGUGCCAGCAGCCGCGGUAAUACGGAGGGUGCAAGCGUUACUCGGAAUCACUGGGCGUAAAGAGCGCGUAGGCGGGAUAGUCAGUCAGGUGUGAAAUCCUAUGGCUUAACCAUAGAACUGCAUUUGAAACUACUAUUCUAGAGUGUGGGAGAGGUAGGUGGAAUUCUUGGUGUAGGGGUAAAAUCCGUAGAGAUCAAGAGGAAUACUCAUUGCGAAGGCGACCUGCUGGAACAUUACUGACGCUGAUUGCGCGAAAGCGUGGGGAGCAAACAGGAUUAGAUACCCUGGUAGUCCACGCCCUAAACGAUGGAUGCUAGUUGUUGGAGGGCUUAGUCUCUCCAGUAAUGCAGCUAACGCAUUAAGCAUCCCGCCUGGGGAGUACGGUCGCAAGAUUAAAACUCAAAGGAAUAGACGGGGACCCGCACAAGCGGUGGAGCAUGUGGUUUAAUUCGAGGAUACACGAAGAACCUUACCUAGGCUUGACAUUGAGAGAAUCCGCUAGAAAUAGUGGAGUGUCUGGCUUGCCAGACCUUGAAAACAGGUGCUGCACGGCUGUCGUCAGCUCGUGUCGUGAGAUGUUGGGUUAAGUCCCGCAACGAGCGCAACCCCCUUUCUUAGUUGCUAACAGGUCAUGCUGAGAACUCUAAGGAUACUGCCUCCGUAAGGAGGAGGAAGGUGGGGACGACGUCAAGUCAUCAUGGCCCUUACGCCUAGGGCUACACACGUGCUACAAUGGGGUGCACAAAGAGAAGCAAUACUGCGAAGUGGAGCCAAUCUUCAAAACACCUCUCAGUUCGGAUUGUAGGCUGCAACUCGCCUGCAUGAAGCUGGAAUCGCUAGUAAUCGCAAAUCAGCCAUGUUGCGGUGAAUACGUUCCCGGGUCUUGUACUCACCGCCCGUCACACCAUGGGAGUUGUGUUUGCCUUAAGUCAGGAUGCUAAAUUGGCUACUGCCCACGGCACACACAGCGACUGGGGUGAAGUCGUAACAAGGUAACCGUAGGUGAACCUGCGGUUGGAUCACCUCCUU